CGGAGGGAGCUAGCGUUGUUCGGAAAUACUGGGCGUAAAAGCGCACGUAGGCGGCGUCGCAAGUCAGGGGGUGAAAAUCCCGGGGCUCAACCCCGGAACUGCCCUUGAAACUGCAAUGCUAGAAUCUUGGAGAGGCGGAGUGGAAUUCCGAGUGUAGAGGUGAAAUUACGUAGAUAUUCGGAAGAACACCAGUGGCGAAGGCGACUCGCUGGACAAGUAUUGACGCUGAGGUGCGAAAGCGUGGGGAGCAAACAGGAUU
rnacentral:rRNA from 1 species